GAUGAACGCUGGCGGCGCGCCUAACACAUGCAAGUCGAACGAUUAAAGCACCUUCGGGUGUGUAUAAAGUGGCGAACGGCUGAGUAACACGUGGGCAACCUGCCCCUCUCAUUGGGAUAGCCACGGGAAACCGUGGAUAAUACCGAAUACUUCGAGUCUCCCGCAUGGAAGACUCGAGAAAGCUCCGGCGGAGAGGGAUGGGCCCGCGGCCUGUUAGCUUGUUGGUGGGGUAACGGCCUACCAAGGCAAUGAUGGGUAGCUGGGUUGAGAGACCGACCAGCCAGAUUGGGACUGAGACACGGCCCAGACUCCUACGGGAGGCAGCAGUGGGGAAUCUUGCACAAUGGGCGAAAGCCUGAUGCAGCGACGCCGCGUGCGGGAUGAAGGCCUUCGGGUUGUAAACCGCUUUCAGCAGGGACGAGGCGAAAGUGACGGUACCUGCAGAAGAAGCCCCGGCUAACUACGUGCCAGCAGCCGCGGUAAUACGUAGGGGGCAAGCGUUAUCCGGAUUCAUUGGGCGUAAAGCGCUCGUAGGCGGUCUGUUAGGUCGGGAGUUAAAUCCGGGGGCUCAACCCCCGUUCGCUCCCGAUACCGGCAGACUUGAGUUUGGUAGGGGAAGGUGGAAUUCCUAGUGUAGCGGUGGAAUGCGCAGAUAUUAGGAAGAACACCAGUGGGCGAAGGCGGCCUUCUGGGCCAUAACUGACGCUGAGGAGCGAAAGCUAGGGGAGCAAACAGG
rnacentral:rRNA from 1 species